AAUUUUUCAGAUGAUGGUAUUACAUACUGGUAUCCUUUUAGUUGUUGGUUCAUCCAGCUUGCCACUUUUUUCUCCAGAUUGUACAUUGGUGCUCUUCCUUUUUCCACUAUAGGCCUAAGAGCCAGCAGGGUCUUAUGGGUCUUGGUGUAACUAAAGAGCCUAGAACAUGCAGGGUUACAGAUUCUAUUUAUCUUGAGGAAGGAAGGCAAAGCUUUGUUUUUCAAUAUGGUAGUCAUUUGCCUGUCUAAUGCUUCAGUGAGGUCUGUAGCGAGCAACUCCUCAUGGAUGUCAAGUAUAUAUCUGUUCAAAUGUUCUUCAUAUGUUUCUUCAUCUAAUAGCACAACCUUCUUGGAUUUGUUGUCUCUGGUUAUGGCUACUUUAUUUUCUUAAUCCAUCUGUGCACUUUCUUAAGAAGCGUCCUGUUCUCUAUUACCCACUGCGUCUGACUUCUGCUCCGAUUUCUAUGGCUCAUGACUUCCUCCGUGAAUAUCCACCUAUAUCUUUCUUUGUCCAGAUCAUGCAUGUUUCCCAAUAUUCGCUCAAACGGGAGUAUGAGGUCCUCAAAGCAUUUAAUGUUUCUUAUGGGACAGGAGGGGCCUAGUUUAAGAACUUGCUCGAUGUACUCUGGCAGUUCUAAGUUCCCUACAAUAAUCACUACAUCCUCUAGUUCUAUCUUCUGCCUAUUAUGGGUCUGUCUAAGUUGAGUCUUUAAUAACCAUUUCAAUUUCUUUUGUACUUGCGAAUAGCAACCGGCCGUCCGUGCUGUUGACGCC
rnacentral:lncRNA from 1 species